AGAGUUUGAUUAUGGCUCAGGAUGAACGCUGGCGGCGUGCUUAACACAUGCAAGUCGAACGAGGUCCAACCUUCGGGUGAAGACCGAGUGGCGAACGGGUGAGUAACACGUGGGGAACCUGCCCUUCUCUCUGGGAUAACCUCGGGAAACCGAAGCUAAUACCGGAUACUCCUUGCGGACCGCAUGGUCUGCUCGGGAAAGCUCCGGCGGAGAAGGAUGGCCCCGCGGCCCAUUAGCUUGUUGGUGGGGUAACGGCCCACCAAGGCGACGAUGGGUAGCCGAGCUGAGAGGCUGAUCGGCCACACUGGGACUGAGACACGGCCCAGACUCCUACGGGAGGCAGCAGUGGGGAAUCUUGCGCAAUGGGCGAAAGCCUGACGCAGCAACGCCGCGUGCGGGAUGAAGGCUCUCGGGUCGUAAACCGCUUUCAGCAGGGAUGAAAAUGACAGUACCUGCAGAAGAAGCCCCGGCUAAAUACGUGCCAGCAGCCGCGGUAAUACGUAUGGGGCAAGCGUUAUCCGGAUUCAUUGGGCGUAAAGCGCGCGUAGGCGGCUUGUUAAGUCAGGCGUGAAAUCCGGGGGCUCAACCCGCGGCUUGCGUCUGAAACUGGCAGGCUUGAGUCUGGUAGAGGAAAGUGGAAUUCCUGGUGUAGCGGUGAAAUGCGCAGAUAUCAGGAGGAACACCAGUGGCGAGGGCGGCUUUCUGGGCCACGACUGACGCUGAGGCGCGAAAGCUAGGGGAGCGAACAGGAUUAGAUACCCUGGUAGUC
rnacentral:rRNA from 1 species